GCCACCUACACAAUGUGAAAACCUACACCCUAUAUCAUUGCUGAACGCAGACAUCAAGCUAUAUGCGAAACUAUGGGCACUACGACUGAAAACUCACCUUACAGAAUUAGUUUCCAUAGAACAAGCGGGAUUUGUCCCCGGGAGACAGGCAGGAGACAACACCAGGCCCUUUAUAAAUCUAAUCAACUGGGCAAAAACUAG